GAAAAGGAUUAAAAAAUUAUAAUCAAUACGUAAUAAGUUACAAACGAUACACGAUGUUGCUUUUUAAAUUAAUUUUAGCACUCAAUUUGUUGGUAGUGGUUUUCGCAUAUUAUCACACCAGUUUACGCAAAAAAGUGAGGUUCGAAUGCCGGGAGGACAAGGAAUGCGCAAGAGGCACAUAUUGUACCUGUGAUUCUGACAUGUCUUGCAUAUGCUUAGCUGUUCAUAUUUUUUAAAGUAAUUAUAUUUAUCAGUCUGUUAUGGUAUCACAACAGAUUUUAAUAGAUAACGCUUAUUAU